GGUUGCGAUCAUACCAGCACUAAUGCACCGGAUCCCAUCAGAACUCCGCAGUUAAGCGUGCUUGGGCGAGAGUAGUACUAGGAUGGGUGACCCCUUGGGAAGUCCUCGUGUUGCAACCCC
rnacentral:rRNA from 1 species